AGCUGUCUUCACAGGGUCAGCCAGGGGCAAAAGGAAAAAGUCAGGGGGACCAAGGCAUAUGCCUGAAAGAAAAAGGCCACAAAAGAAUUGUUCCUACCACACUCGCCUAGAGGCUUUCCCCAUCAGGAGUGUUGUAAAAGAAAGAGUGAG